rnacentral:rRNA from 1 species
GAUGAACGCUGGCGGCGUGCCUAAUACAUGCAAGUCGAGCGAACAGACGAGGAGCUUGCUCCUCUGACGUUAGCGGCGGACGGGUGAGUAACACGUGGAUAACCUACCUAUAAGACUGGGAUAACUUCGGGAAACCGGAGCUAAUACCGGAUAAUAUAUUGAACCGCAUGGUUCAAUAGUGAAAGACGGUUUUGCUGUCACUUAUAGAUGGAUCCGCGCCGCAUUAGCUAGUUGGUAAGGUAACGGCUUACCAAGGCGACGAUGCGUAGCCGACCUGAGGGGGUGAUCGGCCACCCUGGGACUGAGACACGGUCCAGACUCCUACGGGAGGCAGCAGUAGGGACUCUUCCGCAAUGGGCGAAAGCCUGACGGAGCAACGCCGCGUGAGUGAUGAAGGUCUUCGGAUCGUAAAACUCUGUUAUUAGGGAAGAACAAAUGUGUAAGUAACUAUGCACGUCUUGACGGUACCUAAUCAGAAAGCCACGGCUAACUACGU